rnacentral:rRNA from 1 species
AACGAACGUUAGCGGCGCGCUUAACACAUGCAAGUCGCACGAGAAAGGGCUUCGGCCCCGGUACAGUGGCGCACGGGUGAGUAACACGUGGGUAAUCUUCCCUAUGGCGGGGGAUAACCUUCCGAAAGGAGGGCUAAUACCGCAUAAGACCACGGCUUCGAAAGGAGCUGAGGUUAAAGCAGGCCUCUAUACAUAAGCUUGCACCAUAGGAUGAGCCCGCGGCCCAUCAGCUAGUUGGUAGGGUAAUGGCCUACCAAGGCUAAGACGGGU